rnacentral:rRNA from 1 species
UACGUAGGGGGGCAAGCGUUUGUCCGGAUUUAUUGGGCGUAAAGAGCGUGUAGGCGGCUAGGUAGGUCCGUUGUGAAAACUCGAGGCUCAACCUCGAGACGUCGAUGGAAACCAUCUAGCUAGAGUCCGGAAGAGGAGAGUGGAAUUCCCGGUGUAGCGGUGAAAUGCGCAGAUAUCGGGAAGAACACCCGUGGCGAAGGCGGCUCUCUGGGACGGUACUGACGCUGAGACGCGAAAGCGUGGGGAGCGAACAGG